CAGUCGCCGCGGUAAUCCGUAGGUGGCAAGCGUUGUCCGGAAUUAUUGGGCGUAGAGGGCUCGCAGGCGGUUUCUUAAGUCUGAUGUGAAAGUCCCCGGCUCAACCGGGGAGGGUCAUUGGAAACUGGGAAACUUGAGUGCAGAAGAGGAGAGUGGAAUUCCACGUGUAGCGGUGAAAUGCGUAGAGAUGUGGAGGAACACCAGUGGCGAAGGCGACUCUCUGGUCUGUAACUGACGCUGAGGAGCGAAAGCGUGGGGAGCGAACAGGAUUAGAUACCCGCGUAGUCCCUGUCUCUUAUAC
rnacentral:rRNA from 1 species